rnacentral:misc_RNA from 1 species
AAGUCGUAACAAGGUUUCCGUAGGUGAACCUGCGGAAGGAUCAUUACCAAUUUAAUCCAAUAUUAUAACCCGUGUGCACUGUGACAUUGUUUGUCUUUGGGGUGGUGGAUUUUUAUUUGCCGCCCCACAUUUGUUUAACACAUUUUAAUUUUUGUGGCAUCCUAAUUGUCUAAAUAAAAAUGGACAACUUUUAACGGUGGAUCUCUUGGCUCGUG